UACGUAGGGUGCAAGCGUUGUCCGGAAUCACUGGGCGUAAAGGGCGCGUAGGUGGUGACCUAAGCGUGCGGUGAAAGCCCGAGGCUCAACCUCGGGUCGGCCGUGCGAACUGGGUCACUGGAGCAGAAUAGAGGCAGGUGGAAUUCCGGGUGUAGCGGUGGAAUGCGUAGAUAUCAGGAAGAACACCCGGUGGCGAAGGCGGUUCUCUGGGACGGUACUGACGCUGAGACGCGAAAGCGUGGGGAGCGAACAGG
rnacentral:rRNA from 1 species